CGCAGUCGAGCGGAACGAAAGUAGCUUGCUACUAGGCGUCGAGCGGCGGACGGGUGAGUAAUGCUUAGGAAUCUACCAAGUAGUGGGGGAUAGCCAUUGGAAACGAUGAUUAAUACCGCAUAUAUCCUACGGGGGAAAGCAGGGGACCUUCGGGCCUUGCGCUAUUUGAUGAGCCUGAGUGAGAUUAGCUAGUUGGUGGGGUAAAGGCCUACCAAGGCGACGAUCUCUAGCUGGUCUGAGAGGAUGAUCAGCCACACUGGGACUGAGACACGGCCCAGACUCCUACGGGAGGCAGCAGUGGGGAAUAUUGCACAAUGGACGAAAGUCUGAUGCAGCCAUGCCGCGUGUGUGAAGAAGGCCUUCGGGUUGUAAAGCACUUUCAGCGAGGAGGAAAGGUCAGUAAGUAAUAUUUGCUGGCUGUGACGUUACCCGCAGAAGAAGCACCGGCUAAUUUAGUGCCAGCAGCCGCGGUAAUACUAAAGGUGCAAGCGUUAAUCGGAAUUACUGGGCGUAAAGCGCGCGUAGGUGGUUUGUUAAGUUGGAUGUGAAAGCCCAGGGCUCAACCUUGGAACUGCAUUCAAAACUGACUCACUA
rnacentral:rRNA from 1 species